ACACGUAGGGGGCGAGCGUUGUUCGGAAUCAUUGGGCGUAAAGGGCGUGCAGGCGGUCCUGCAAGUCCGGCGUGAAAGACCCCGGCCCAACCGGGGGGACGCGCUGGAAACUGCAGGGCUUGAGUACAGGAGGGGAUGCCGGAAUUCCAGGUGUAGGGGUGAAAUCUGUAGAUAUCUGGAAGAACACCAAUGGAGAAGGCAGGCAUCUGGCCAUGUACUGACGCUGAGACGCGAAGGUGCGGGGAGCAAACAGGUUUAGAUACCCUGGUAGUCCGCACAGUAAACGAUGUGCACCAGGUGGCGGGGGGUCGACCCCCGGUACCGUAGCUAACGCAUUAAGUGCACCGCCUGGGGAGUAUGCUCGCAAGGGUGAAACUCAAAUGAAUUGACGGGG
rnacentral:rRNA from 1 species